CCAUGCUAGAAAGAAAAGCAGUGCAGUCAAGAGCAAUGCUAAAAAUGAUCCACGCCGAAUUGAUGUGGUAGCUAUAUGGAUGUACACUAUAACCUUCCUUCAACUUUUCUGCAUGUCUGAAAUUUGUCUUAAAAUGUUAGGGGUAAAAGUAAUACUGAGGAAAAAAGAUUUAUGUACAAAGAUAUUCAUGGCAGCAUUUAUCACUCAACAGCAGGGGAAAAACAGAAGUCACCUAAAUGUAUUAAGCAGAAAGAGUUUUAAAAAAGAAAACUACAGUAAGUACAUCCAUAAUUAUGCAACCAUUAAAAAAAUUCAGAUUUUUAAUAAACGGUUUUCUAUGUUAAGUUAAAACAAGAUAGAGGACCUCCCUGGUAGUCCAGGGAUUAAGACUGUGCUUCCGCUGCAGGGGCUCGGGUUUGAUCCCUGGUCCAGGAAGUUCCACAUGUCAUGCAGUGCAAUAAAAAAAAACCAAGAUAGAAAACAAUACUGAUCUAAACUAUGCACAUUUUCAAAAAGUCACCCAAAAUAGUUACCCUUGAGUAACAGGGUUAUGGAAAAUUUGGGUUUUUCCCAUCUUUUAUAAAUUCUUCCUUCUACAGUCAACACAUACAACCUUCAUCAUGAGAGGAAAAAAAAGCAGUGACAAAAAAGGACAUUCAGCUCACAUUUCAGGUUUAUCCAGAGGGCUCUUUAGACACAUGUCUGACCCUCAGGAGAAAGCAGACCAGCUGAAGCAUGAAGGGGUUAACCUGUGCUGAGGGUCUCCUGCAGGCCAGGCAUGCGCCAGGCACCAGUGCUUGUCAUUGAAUCACUGUAUGUCCCCUGGAGAGCUGCAAUAACUAGUUUUACAUGUUAGGAAGCUGAUGCUAGGCAUUACCUGAAACAUGAUUCCUGUCUUUAAUAAGCUUACAGUAGAACUACUAAGGGAAGAUGAAAAAAAAAAAAGAUAUUUAACUGUCUGGCACAA